GAACCUUACCAGGUCUUGACAUCCUCUGACAACCCUAGAGAUAGGGCUUCCCCUUCGGGGGCAGAGUGACAGGUGGUGCAUGGUUGUCGUCAGCUCGUGUCGUGAGAUGUUGGGUUAAGUCCCGCAACGAGCGCAACCCUUGAUCUUAGUUGCCAGCAUUCAGUUGGGCACUCUAAGGUGACUGCCGGUGACAAACCGGAGGAAGGUGGGGAUGACGUCAAAUCAUCAUGCCCCUUAUGACCUGGGCUACACACGUGCUACAAUGGGCAGAACAAAGGGCAGCGAAGCCGCGAGGCUAAGCCAAUCCCACAAAUCUGUUCUCAGUUCGGAUCGCAGUCUGCAACUCGACUGCGUGAAGCUGGAAUCGCUAGUAAUCGCGGAUCAGCAUGCCGCGGUGAAUACGUUCCCGGGCCUUGUACACACCGCCCGUCACACCACGAGAGUUUGUAACACCCGAAGUCGGUGAGGUAACCUUUUGGAGCCAGCCGCCGAA
rnacentral:rRNA from 1 species